UAAUACGUAGGGGGCGAGCGUUGUCCGGAAUUAUUGGGCGUAAAGCGCGCGCAGGCGGUUUCUUAAGUCUGGUGUUUAAGUGCGGGGCUCAACCCCGUGUCGCAUUGGAAACUGGGGGACUGGAGUGCAGAAGAGGAGAGCGGAAUUCCACGUGUAGCGGUGAAAUGCGUAGAGAUGUGGAGGAACACCAGUGGCGAAGGCGGCUCUCUGGUCUGUAACUGACGCUGAGGCGCGAAAGCGUGGGGAGCAAACAGGAUUAGAUACCCUGGUAGUCCACGCCGUAAACGAUGAGUGCUAGGUGUCGGGGGGGUCCACCCCUCGGUGCCGAAGUCAACACAUUAAGCACUCCGCCUGGGGAGUACGGUCGCAAGACUGAA
rnacentral:rRNA from 1 species